CUGAUUGCUUAGUUCCAUUCUUUCUCCUUUGAUGGUUGUCAUGUUUCACCUAAACCAAGCAGCUCUGCUCUCCAUUCAACUACUACUUAUAUGCCACGUCUUUGCAGGACAUUAUCCAGACGAGCACAGGAAUAUAACUGUGUCCAGAGGAGACCCCGUCAUGUUCACUUGCAACUUAUCCAUGAUAACCAUAACACAAAUCACCUGGAUCAAAGACAGAUUUCUUUUUUCUGAUUUCAUUUCAAAAAAUCAGAAUUUUUCAAAUUUUACGUCUGACAGACUGAAAAUAGACUCUGUCUUUCCUUCAACUCUAAAUAUUUCUAAUGCUCAGCAUGACGACGCAGGACUCUAUAGAUGUAAUGUAACUGGUGUAAAUGGCGCCAGGACUGCUACGUGGAAUUUAGCUGUGACUGAGAAACCUGAAGAAAUCAUCGACUUCCACUCGUGGUAUCUUCUAUACAUACUCACAACUGUAACUGGAUUGCUCCUGUGUGGCAUCACUUCAGCUGUCUGCCUCUGCAGAAAACGCAGGACCAGGACACCAAAUCAGGAUCUUCAGUCAGGAGGAGAGGAUAACACAGACAGUAGAAGAAACAACAAGAGGAGGAGUCAGUACAUGGAGAGGCUCAAUUCAAUCUAUGGUUUCUAGUGAGCUGACAGGUCAUUCAAAUGAAACUUAGCUGAGCUGAACCAGGUGAUUCAAGUGAGGACAACUGGCCCACAGAAACCUCUGACUUAUCUAACAUUAACACAAUAAAACCAGCGCCUUCACUUUAAGGAAUACUGUUUUUAUCUUAUCUUUUAUAAUCAUGAAAGUGUGUUUAUUCUAAUAUGUUUUUAUGAAUGUACAAUGGUUUUAUCAUCAGUAUGUUGUUUUGAAUGUUGUGCUGUCUGUCCUGCAUUAUGAGCUCACCAAGGCAAGUUCCUAACAAUGUUUGUUGCAAUGUUAAUAAAGUUAAUUCAACUCAACAGGCUUUAAUUUAAAGGUCAGUGCCCUCUAGGGUUCUGUGAUGGAAUUGCAUGGUGUUUCUUAUAUCAAAAAUAAUUUAUGUUUCACACACUGAAGUCAAGUAAAGUCUUAGUUCCAGUUACGCACUAUAUUCAAGCAGGGGAUCCAUGGCAUGGACCCUCACAGACAGGUAGGUGGUUGUGUAAAUGCAGGUUAAUAGACUUGGUUAUGGUAACAGAUUCAAAGUGUCCUGUGAAGAAAACACUGAACUAUUCCUAAGCAGCAGCUUUUGACUCGUCAUUGGAAACACAUAUGAAAUUCACUGAGUACCACAACAGAGUAAUUGCAGGCCUGGUUAUUAUGUUUCUUCUAAGUAUCAGAAAGUUUCCGACCUGCUGUGAAACCACACUCAGCAGAACGGUCACACUAUGUGGGUAAAGUGUGGGUAAAAGUUUUCCUGCAGUUCGGCAUGUGUUUUAUGCUCAUUUUAGAUUUCAGUUUAAUGAUGGAAUUUAGCCACAUUUUAAACUUAUUCUAGAUUGAAUUAUAUGAUAUUCUUACAUAACGUUAUGUUUAAUGAAAGGUGUGAGACACGUUUGAGCUUAGCUGAAGAGCAACUAACCACUUCCUUUUCUCUGCGUCUCUUACACAAGUAGGGCCUGAUUGUGACGUUACUUCUGUCUUUCUUUCUGAUGGCCGUCAUGUUCAGGCGAGAUCAAGCAGCUCUGCUCUCCAUUCAACUACUACUUAUGUGCCACGUCUUUGCAGAUUAUCCAGAGGAGCACAGGAAUAUAACUGUGUCCAGAGGAGACCCCGUCAUGUUAACUUGCAACAUAUCCAUCAUAAACGUAACACAAAUCAACUGGACCAAACACAGAUUUCUUUUUUCUUAUUGGAUUUUAAAAAAUCUGACUUUUUCAAAUUUUACGUCUGACAGACUGAAAAUAGACUCUGUCUUUCCUUCAACUCUAAAUAUUUUUAAUGCUCAGCAUGACGACGCAGGACUCUAUAGAUGUAAUGUAACUGGUGGAAAUGGCCCAAGGACUGUUGUGUGGAAUUUAACUGUGUCCAAGAAACCUGAAGAAAUGACUGACUUCCACUUGUGGUAUCUUCUAUACAUACUCACAACUGUAACUGGAUUGCUCCUGUGUGGCAUCACUUCAGCCGUCUGCCUCUGCAGAAAACGCAGGACCAGGACACCAAAUCAGGACUCAGCCCAGGGCCAGUUUCAUCUUCAGUCAGGAGGAGAGGUCGGACGAACUUUGUCAUCUUCACCCUGACACCUUUCUAUGCUUUUCUUUUCUUUCUCGGAAAAAUCACUGAACUUUACUUUCACCUUUUCUCUCUGUAUGUGGUUAUCACGCAACUGCAGGAUGACACAGAGAGUAGAAGAAACAACAAGAGGAGGAGUCAGUACAUGGAGAGGCUCAAUUCAAUCUAUGGUUUCUAGUGAGCUGACAGGUCAUUCAAAUGAAACUUAAACAUGAGCUGAACCAGGUGCUUCAAGUGAGGACAACUGGCCCACAGAAACCUCUGACUUAUCUAACAUUAACACAAUAAAACCAGUGCCUUCACUUUAAGGAAUAUUGUUUUUAUCUUAUCUUUUAUAAUCAUGAAAGUUUGUUUAUUUUAAUAUGUUUUUAAGUAUGUACAAUGGUUUUAUCAUCAGUAUGCUGUUUUGAAUGUUGUGCUGUCUGUCCUGCAUUAUGAGCUCACCAAGGCAAGUUCCUAACAAUGUUUGUUGCAAUGUCAAUAAAGUUAAUUCAACUCAACAGGCUUUAAUUUAAAGGUCAGUGCCCUCUAGGGUUCUGCGAUGGAAUUACAUGGAAUCUGUUAUAUCAAAAUAAUGUAUGUAAGACUGUAAGACUGAAGUUAAGUAAAGUUUUAUUUUCACUUAUUCCAUCGGGUUAUCAUGUUUCUUAUAAGCAUCAGAGAGUUUCCGACCUGCUCUGAAACCACACUAAGCACAACAGUCACUCUAUGCGGGUUAAGUGUUCUCAGCAUCAUGUAGAUGUGCUCCUCCUGCAGCUGAGCAUGUCUGUUAAGUUCAUUUAAGAUUUCAGUCCAUCAUAUUACUACUAAUGAAAUACUUCUUAGUUUAUUUUCAAGGAGGAUUGAGCUUGGAUUAUCAAUAUUCACUUUUUUUUUUUUAUUAAAUAAUUGUAUUUAUGACUCCUUGGUAUGAUCCAUAUAAGGUGUGAUUUUAGUUUUUACAGUUAGGUCAAGAGCAACUAACCACUUCCUUUCUCUGUGUGCCUCCUGCACAAACAUAUUUAAGGGCUGAUUGUGAAGUUACGUCUGUCUUUCUCCGUCUGAUGUUCAUCAUGUUUCACCUAAAACAAGCAGCUCUGCUCUCCAUUCAACUCCUAGUAGCGUGUCAUGUCAUUGCAGGUACAGUGGAGAUUUGUGUGUUUGAUGCAUGCUUUAAAUGUAAUUGCAGAUUUCAUUUUAUAUGAACUGAUUGUUUCCUUCCAUGUUAGGACAUUAUCCAGACGAGCACAGGAAUAUAACUGUGUCCAGAGGAGACCCCGUCAUGUUAACUUGCAACUUAUCAAUGAUAGCCAUAACACAAAUCACCUGGAUCAAAGACAGAUUUCUUUUUUCUGAUUUCAUUUCAAAAAAUCAGAAUUUUUCAAAUUUUACGUCUGACAGACUGAAAAUAGACUCUGUCUUUCCUUCAACUCUAAAUAUUUUUAAUGCUCAGCAUGACGACGCAGGACUCUAUAGAUGUAAUGUAACUGGUGUAAAUGGCGCCAGGACUGCUACGUGGAAUUUAGCUGUGACUGAGAAACCUGAAGAAAUCAUCGACUUCCACUCGUGGUAUCUUCUAUACAUACUCACAACUGUAACUGGAUUGCUCCUGUGUGGCAUCACUUCAGCCGUCUGCCUCUGCAGAAAAUGCUGCACCAGGACCCCAGAAAAGAAACAAUAUGACAGCAGGACCCUGAGUUAUACCCAGUAUUGUGUUCAGUUGAGAGAAAAGGUGGCUCCUACUCUCCCAAGAAGCUGUGCAGAAUACAGACUGAUCACAAACAGACGCAGUCAGCACUUUGAGAGUUAAAUGCAUGGCCUCCACUGAGCUGACAAAUAAGUUCAGAUCAAAGCUGAACAAGUGACAAGAGACAUUUUGGACAGAAAGUAAAAGAGAGAGGACAUAUUUAAAAAUAAAUGAAACCAGCCCAUAGAAUGAUAUAACAAAUAAAUAAAUAAAUAAGUGUUUUUUGUUAUCAAAAUAACACAAGGUAAUGUUUCAGUUUUAAUUUCUUGGAAGCAGAAACCUCAUAUCAGCUUACUGUACAUGGUUGGGUGUAUGUCCAUAACCUGCAUGUAAAAUACAUUUAAUCUUGAAAAGUUUAAACGAACGCUGUUUUGUUGGUGUUUCUCUCUUUCAUUUGUUUGCGUUGCUUUGUUUUGCUUUAAGCUUUUGCUUUUUGUGCAGGUAAAACAUCUAGUAUCUGAAGUCACACUGUAUAGGUCUGUUAUGAUAAAGGCUUGGUCUAGUUUAUCGAUAAAUGCAUAAAAUAUUUGAUGUAAUAAUCUGAUUUGAGGUUUGUUAAUCCGUGGGGUCACAAUUUUUAUUUACAGCUGCCCGAAUGAUCCCUGUUGUACAACUCUACUUCAUGAUUUGAUCUUUGUUGCAUUAGUUUUUCUUGAUCUUUUCUCCCUCUUGACACGUGGGUCAGUGUUAAAUAACUCAAGAGAUAUUUUAAAAACAAACAUCUUGGGUUAAUUGUGAUGAUGUACAAUCAAACCCAGUCUAAUAUGAUAAUUUCCUUUUAUCCAUGCUUUCUCGACAAAUAUGACAGUGACACCAACACAAAGCUUCACUCUGUGUCUUAAGUUAUUAAUGAUGUGAUUUUCGACACACUUAAUAUUAAACUG